AAGAAAAGAGGCCUAAAGGAGGAAACACUAGGUUGCAAUUCUUUUUUCUGGUCUUUGUGGCUAGCUUUGCUUAUUACAUUAUUCCUGGCUACCUUUUCCAAGCAAUAUCAACCAUCUCUGUUGUUUGCUUAAUAUGGAAAAACUCUGUCACUGCUCAACAAAUUGGUUCAGGAAUGAGGGGUCUUGGUAUUGGUUCAGUUACCCUCGAUUGGAACACUGUUGCUGGUUUCUUAGGAAGUCCUAUGGCUUAUCCUGGUUUUGCCAUUAUCAACAUAUUGGCUGGAUUUGUGUUAUUUAUCUAUGUUGUGAUUCCAGUUUCCUAUUGGAGCAAUAUUUAUGAUGCCAAAAAGUUUCCCCUCAUCAGUUCUCACACAUUUGAUUCCACUGGUAAAACAUAUAAUGUUUCUAGGAUUCUUAAUGAUGCAACAUUUGACAUUGAUAUGGAUGCUUAUAACAAUUACAGUAAGCUCUAUCUUAGUAUCACAUUUGCAUUUGAUUAUGGAUUGAGCUUCGCAACUCUCACUGCCACCGUCUCACAUGUUUUCCUCUUCCAUGGAAAGUAUGUUCUUUUGAUUCCACAAUAUUUAAUUUUAUAUUAUUGAUGCAUUUUUUUUGUAAACGAUCUAACUAUAUAUUCUGGUGAAUGUGAAUUUGAAAGAACGAUUAAUCAGAUGUGGAGAAAGACAACAGCUGCGCUAAAAGAACAGGCUGGAGACGUGCAUACAAGAAUCAUGAAGAGAAACUAUAAACAAGUUCCGGAGUGGUGGUUCGUAAGCAUAUUAUUUCUUAUGACUAUUAUGGCCUUGCUAUGUUGCGAAGGCUUUGGCAAGCAGCUCCAACUUCCAUGGUGGGGAGUCUUGCUUUCUCUAACAAUUGCGUUGGUUUUCACUUUGCCAAUUGGUGUCAUUCAAGCAACAACAAACCAGGUAAUAUUUUGAUUGUCCAACACAGGUAGGAAAAAAAAAAACUAAAACAUGUUGUGCCUUGUGAUGUUGUGUAUCAUGACAUAAAGUUACUGCUUGUUUUGCAGCAAGCUGGACUCAAUGUGAUCACAGAGUUGAUUAUUGGUUACCUUUAUCCUGGAAAGCCUCUUGCUAAUGUAGCCUUCAAGACUUAUGGAUACAUUAGUAUGGCACAAGCACUUAGUUUCCUCCAAGACUUCAAAUUAGGCCACUACAUGAAAAUUCCUCCGAAAUCUAUGUUCCUAGUACAGUUGGUGGGAACUUUGGUUGCUUCAAGUGUACAGUUUAUCACAGCAUGGUGGCUUCUAACAACUAUUCCAAACAUAUGUGAUGAAUCAAUGUUGCCAGAGGGUAGUCCAUGGACUUGUCCUGGAGAUGAUGUGUUUUACAAUGCUUCAAUUAUAUGGGGAAUAGUAGGACCAAAACGGAUGUUCACAAAGGAUGGAAUUUACCCCGGAAUGAAUUGGUUUUUCCUCAUUGGUCUACUUGCGCCUGUUCCAGUAUGGCUGCUAGCUCGCAAAUAUCCGAAUCACAAAUGGAUUGAACUCAUCAACAUGCCACUUAUAAUUGCAGGUGCCAAUGGAAUACCACCCGUUAGAUCAAUAAAUUAUAUUUCAUGGGGAGUUGUUGGAAUCUUCUUCAAUUUCUAUGUUUACAAACAUUUCAAGUCAUGGUGGGCUCGACACACUUACAUUCUCUCGGCAGCUUUGGAUUCUGGCAUUGCUUUCAUGGGUGUGUUGCUCUAUUUUUCACUUCAAACUUAUAAUAUCUUUGGUCCAACAUGGUGGGGUCUUGAAGGAGAUGAUCACUGUCCCUUGGCUAAAUGCCCUACAGCUCCUGGUAUUGUUACCAAGGGAUGUCCUGUCUUUUGAACUCCAUAUUUGCAUUCUAUCAUAUCCUCAUUGGUCAUGAAAAGAUACACAAAAUCUGAUGAUUAUUUAAAGUCUGCUACGCUACAAUGCUAUAACUUCACUAUAGCAUUUGCUUGACAACACUUUGUAUUAAAUAGUGUAUCGUUGAAUAUAGUUAUAUUCGUCAUUUGACAACAUUGUAAUUAACAAGGUUUCUACUUUGUACUUUUUAUAUAUUUGCCAAUUGUAUAAACUGUUAUGAAGUAUAAAACUGUACAGAUUGCAGAACUUUUUCCAGUAUACCAUUUCUAUGAUUCUAUCUAAUCCAUUGAAAUUUGCAACCAUUCUUUUUAGUGCAGCAAAUGAAAUCCAAUAAAAAAAAGUUUUUUGUUCAAAAUAUGAAAUCCAAGGUUAUGCAACUUUGCACAAAACCAAGUGAAGUGUUACUUUCCAAAAUUACACUAUAGUAGAAAUUCUAAUUGAAAUUCUUGCUCCCAAAAUGGUGGCUUGUCUCACUUUACCUUACCCUUAUGCUGUUUUUUAUAUUGCCAUAGCCAAGAAAGUGAGAAUAGGGUGUAUAGAGUUUCAUUAGUUUUUGAAAAUGGAGAUAAAGUGGAAGCUAUGGCGGUUUGUCACUUGGAUACCUAAUCAUGUUUCAUGUCAAGUUCUUGGGGUUAGGAAGCUCUUAUGUGUGCCACUUUUUCCCAGCUGAUAAUUUCAUCUGAGCCCCUAAAUUCAAAUCACAAGCUUCUGACAUUUUGGUGUUAUUUCAGUGAUAAAGUUUUGUCUUUAAAUCUCAAGAUGUCGAGUUUGAAUCCUGUCAGAGACAAUUGUAUAGUAAUUAUCAUUAGGAUGACUUGAAUUAAUAAAAAAAAUCACAAGCUUUUUCUAAUAUGAUUUUUUUUUUCUAGCAGCGAGACAAGUAAAUUUUGGUCAAAAAAUUGUUUUAUCCAGAAAUCGAACUCGGGUUCUAAAGAAUGGACCCUUUGUUUUUGACAAAAAAAGAGUUUGUUGCAUUUUAUUUAUAAUAAUAAUGUGUUCAAUACAAUGUUUUAAGAACCGGACCGGAGGUCGAACCGUUGUGACCUCCGGUUUAAGGUUUAACCGGUUGGAUCGGUUCAACCGUUAUUAAACUGUUUACAUUAAACCUUCAUAUAAUUUUGAAGUCUGAACUUAUUUUACCAUAAAAAAUAAAAAAUAAAAAAUCUUGUACUUGUUUUAUAUAUGAAAAUCUAAAGAUUUUUUCCUUAAAAAAAAUAAAUCACAUUGGGCUUUUUAAAAAAUCAAACUUCGUUUUUUUUAAUCUGAGUGAGAACCGGCCGGUUUUCCAGAACCGUGACCAGUUCACCGGUUUUGACGGUUCCCACCGGUUCACUCCGGUUCAUAACAGUUUUUUACCGGUUUUACUGACUACCGGUUUUGGCCUUUCUUCCGGACCGGUGCUGUGUCCGGUUCACGGUCGAACCAGCCGGUCCGGUCCGGUUCUUAAAACAUUGGUUCAAUAUAAAAGACUACGUCAAUAACUACGACUAUGCACAAAGUUAAAAAUAGUAGUGAAAAAUGUCAUUCUCAAAUCCUGACACUAGUAAAAACAACUCGAAAAGGUUACCGUAGUCUGUGUAUAACGGAAUAACUCUAUUUUAUUUUAUUUUACAAAAUUUGGUAUCCGAAUCUAGGACUGACUAAUUUAAGGGGAUCAAUCCCACCGUCCACUUGUGGGGAUGAAUAACACUAUAUAAUCAUGCAUGUCGUACAUAACUACGGAGUAUAUUUAUAUCUAUUAGACUUGACACUGUAAACAUCCUCAACUACUUGUUACAAUCAAGUUCAAAUGACAUUAAAUAGGUAGAUAUCUAUAAUGUGGUCUAUGAAGCAAUUCUCAAACUUCGUAUUCAACAUUUUGUACAUUCAUAUGACACAAAUCCGUUCUAACCAUGACAAAACAAGUUGAGAGGUUUGGCUUCAAGUCCCAUUUCAAUUCCCAAGUUGAAAGGUGUGGCUUCAUCAACAUUAUACUUUUGUGAACACUUGCCAAAAAAUAGGCUUAAUUAGUAAAAUGGUUCUUUAAAGACAUUUUUGGUUUCAGAUUGGUCCCUUAAAAAAAAAAAGGUCCAAAUAGGUCCCUUAAAGAAAAAAAAGUCUCAAUAGGUCCCUUAAAUACAUCUCCGUUAAUCAGUUUGGUCCCUAAAAAGAGGUCUAAAUAGGACCAAAUUGAUUAACGGAGAUGUCUUUAAGGGACCUAUUCGGACUUUUUUUUCUUUAAGGGACCUAUUUGGAUAUUUUUUUCUUUAAGGGACCAAUCUGAAACCAAAAAUAUCUUUAAGGGACCACUUUACUAAUUAAGCCCAAAAAAUAUGAGCAAGUCCAUAACUUUUAUGAUGACACUUCCACCGAAUUCUUAUCACAAUUGAGACGUCAAAAUUUAUAAUAAUUAAAAAAAAAAAAAUUUAUUGUAGAAUUGACUAUUAAUUAAUUUAUUUUAAUUGUCAAAAAAUAUUGUUUUAAUUUAUUAAAAAUUAAUGAUAAUAACCACAUCAAUGAAUGAAAAGUUAAAAACUUAAUGUUUUUUCUACAUACAAUUGGACUGUGAAUGAAUAUAUAAAAGUUAAUUAGUUUAAAGAUCCCAUGCGAAUGCACGGGUCAUUGACUUUUAUUCGAUAUUUAAGUUUGUCUUUAAUUAUAUUUUGCGAGAAAAAUAAUUUAGAAAAAAAUAUUUAAAAAUUUGUCAUACAAUAUUGUUAAAAUAUAAGUGAAACUAUAUUGUGGUAUUUUUUGUAAAACUUAAUAAAUAUAUUAUCCAAUUUUUUAUGUAUCCGUCACAAAUAAUGGUCCCGUGUAUUUUCUUAAUAAAAAAUUAUAAAUUUGAUUAGGAAUAUUUUGGAUAAUUUAGUAAAUUUGAUAGUAAUUAACUUUAUCAUAUUAUUAUUAUUAUAAAUAGUUUUUUUUGUUUUAUUUAAUAGUAUAUUGUUUAUGUUUUUUUUAUGAAAAAUAUUGUUUAUGUUUCUAUUUCUAUAUUUUUUUAAGACCUUUUUCUAUAUUCUUAUAAUCUAUUUUAUUCUUAUUUUUGAGUAUAUAAUCUUUUUAUUGUAUUUAUUUUUUUCAAUUUUUUUAGAGAAAUUGUUGAGUUUAUCGUAUUCAUCUCUUUUGUUGCUAUUUUUAUGAGUAUAAAUUGUUUUGUUUUGAUCCAAUAUAUAAUCUGUUUUGUUUCUAUUUUUAAGAAUGUCAUCUUUUUUGUUUUUUGUAUUUAUCUUAUAUUCUUUCUAUAUAUUUCUUUUAGUGAAAUUACAAUGAAUGAUAUAAAACUUGCAAUGUGAUUAAAAACAAUAAGGAUAAAUUGGUAACUUUGGUAAUAAUCAAUUUUAAUAUAUUAGUAGUUGUUCUGGACUGGGCCAAUAGCUGGCCCAAAUUCAGUCCUGCUCGGAUUAUGAAGCACGACCCAAUUAAAUAUGGCCUCCUCGUCCAUGUCAGCACAUGACGUGGCCUCCUUGACACGUCAUCCCUACAUGACUAACACGUGCUUAUCCGCCCGUGUUACUGCCUUUCACUUGAGCUUAUCUACUUUCCUAGUAUCGUGGAACGGCUCUACCAGGAUAUGAGCAGCAACUGCUUUCCCCACGAUACGGGGCAUAUCGUAUCAGUCGCUCUUAUUGGGCAUGCACAACCUAGCCCAUUAAGAGGACCUUUGGCCUAGCGUCGGGGCAACUAUAUAAGCUCUGCUAUGCAUAGGAAACAAAGCUAGUAAUCCCGAACGAAGGACAGUGUGCUAUGGCCUACAUGAGAGCAUUAAAUUCAGUAUCUGCCAUCUUAGUAUAGGAUUGGAAAAGAACGUUAAUUUCUACCCUGCAGAGUAUGCCUGUGGGUAGGUGACUAGUUUUAGGCAAACAUGACAGCUUAUAAUUUAGGGGUCCGCAAGGCGAUGAGACCAAUGUUUUAACGAAAAAGUGGAGUUCUGGAUCAUGAUGUAUAAAUAAAGUAGGGUAACCUUUAACUAGGCUCUGUAGAAGCUUGUAAUAGAAAUAGGCAUAGAUAAUAAAUACAUCCCACCUAUUUUCAAUAGUCUAAAUCAUAGAAGAGAGAAAUAAUUGAGCAACCAAGCAGGAGUAAGGGAGGGAUCCGACCACACUUAACCACCUCUUGUGGUCACACACACCUUUUAUUUUCCAGUCCUUUAUUUCCUAUCAUUUAAUUUCAUGUAUUUACUGAAGUACCCGCAAAGAUACCUUCUUAAACAAAUAAAGCGAUGACAACUAUCCAUAUUCCUAAGCGAAACUAGUAACCUUGACACAAUCUCUGUGGAAAACGAUAAACUUAUCACUUUAUUACUUAGUAGCGAUUCUGUGCACUUGCAGAGCCGACCGUCAGUGUCCCAAAGGUUUCUUGACAGAGAUUGGAGAUUAAAAUUGUGAGNNNNNNNNNNNNNNNNNNNNNNNNNNNNNNNNUUUUUUUUUUUUUUUUUGUGUGUGUGAAUAUGAAAUGUCACCUAAUUAUCAUUAUUUUAAGGAGUUGUGUGUGAGGUAUUAGAACAAAUCUUAGUAUGAAGCCUUUACCUUUGGUCUAGUGGUGAUGAGUUUGGGUAGUAUGUUAUAGGUCAUGUCCUGAUUCGAUUCCCAGCUUAUUGGAAACAAAAAAAAAACAAUUCUCAGUAUGUAUAUUUUCUAUGAUAUAAUAUCUAUUUUUAAUAUGAUAGCUGGAAUGUUAUGUGUGUGCAUUUAGGUAUCAAGGUAUAUAAUUAAAUAGGAAUUUUAUAUUUUUUUUACCAAAAUAAAAAAUUUAUAUUAAAUAAAAUAAUACAAAAAAAAAAUUGUUUAAAAAGAAGAAAACAUAAUUUUUUAAGAGAAUUGAGAGUUUUCUUCUUCUUGUUUGAAAAAGGGGUAGUUUUGAGUCGUUUUUUGACCCGGAAUCACCCCAAUGCAUUUGUUUUCCCUGCUUUAAUCUAAAUAAGUGGUUUUCACACAAAUUAGAGUUUUCUUGUUUUAUUUUGUGAUUUCUUUGCCUCAGUGCGUCCCGUCUUCGUGCGGUGUUUGUUUGCUUUCUUGUUUUUUACGGUGUUCGUUUACAUGAAUAUUUCGGUAACUUUUAUUUUGUCACAUUAUUUGUAUGCCUGAGUAUGUCGUUUUACGCUAUUAACUUGGAUGUUGUGUGUUUGUUCGCAAAUUUAUUCUCUUCAUUUUUAGCGCUAUUGAAUUUGUGCUUGUAUCUGAUGUAUUUAUCUGUUUGAAUGAAUGAAUGUUAUAUUUUAGUAAAAAAAAAAAAAAAGAAAAGAGAAUUAUACUAUAUUUGACUCUUUAAAAAAAAAAUGCACUCUAUAAAGGUUGUUAAAUAAAAUGUAUUCUAACGGGUCAUGUUAACGGUUUUCAUAAGUUACUUUCAACACAAAAAGUCAAUAACUAGAUUUAACCCCUCCCUAAUCACAUGCAGCAAAGAAUCUUAAAUUCGUAAUUAAUCAAUACAAGUCAUAUAUAUACAUAAUCAUAAUUAUUAACAAGUUUUUCUUAAAUAUAGUUGUUUUGUUACCUUAAAAAUCGCCUUACUUCUCACAUUGCUUUACUUAUCUCUCUCACAUUGUCAGGAUUUUGUGUCACAUUCAACGUUACUUAAAAAACAAACUGAAUAUCCAUUUUUAUCGUUUUCAAUUUUCUAUGAUUUAAUUCAGUUUUUAAUAAAAAUAAAAUUCAAAUUUUUUUUUUACUAAAAUAAAAGUUUUUGCUAAAAUAAAAAAUACUCAUUUAUUGAAAUUUGUACAGUACAUCGUAUUCAAAUAUGUCCCACAUAAAAUAGUAAGAUAUAUAUAAAUUUCACCAAAUUAUAGGAAUUCUGGUGUGUUUGUAACAAAAAAUUUAAACUCUUGGUGUGUUAAAGUGACGCACUGCUCUUAUCUCUAUAAAAGAGGUUGACACAAACAACCAAAUUGUCUUACUAAUUACUAUAAUAACACUUGAAACCUAGAGUCACAUUAACUUAUCCCGAGUAAGAUUAGAAAGAACACUUUGCAAAAUACCUUAAUUUGGUUUCAGUUUCUUCAAAGACAUCGACCUGUCUCUCUGUAAUGGCAGGGGUUAUCAAUGAUACAUUACAUAUUCAAAUUAAUGAGGAUCAUGAAUCUAAACUUGUCAUUGCAGGUAACUUUUUUUUUUCUCUCAUUAACCCUUUUCUUCUCUCAUUAAUUAAUUCUAGUAAAGUUUUGUUUUUGUUGUCAUUCUAUAUGGAAUAUGAUUAAUAAAUGUAUUUUUAUAUCAUAUGUUCAAAUAUUGAUCUUAUUAUAAUUUUUGAAGGAUUAAAUGAAAUUUAAUUAACGCUAAUAUGUAAGAUAUUAUAUGUUAUGUAUUGUCUAAAAAGGUCACAAAUAGUCUCAAAUAUGAUAGUUGAGUUAUGCAUAUUUCUUAGAUUUGGUGUGUCUCGGAUGUGUUGGGGACGACAUAAUAUUAAUACUGACGUAUAUAAUUAUAUUUAAUAUUAAUUAUAUUAUUUUUGAAAAUUAUUAUAAGGAUCGACGUGUGUCUUCUAUCUAUGCUUCAUAGUUGUUAGGUGGUCUAGAUAUUGAUAUUUUUUUUUUUUUACGAUAAUUGAUAUUUUUGUAUCUUUGUGGUUGUAUUGGUUGGGAAGCUGAUAUUCUGCAGAGUUUUUGGUUGUAUAUCUUGUACCUUGAAAGUAUGUUUUAUGUUUUGCUUUUUCAAAAAAGAAAAAAGUGAAGCAACAUUCAUUUUAUUACUUUUAUCAAUGGUGUGAAAUUGUGCAUAUUUCACUGCAAUUAAUAUAUAAGUUUGUGGUCAGAUUUAUUUUUUUUUUUUUUGGAUAAAGUGGUCAGAUUUUUUUGUAUCAGUCAUUAUAGUUAGUUUGGUUCAACAAGAAAGGAAAGAGGGGAUAUAUUUUAAUAGAUGAGAGGAAAAGGUUACGGAAAGAGGGGAAAGAUUUUAGGCUUAAAAAUAGUUAGAUUUUAGGCCCCUGAAAUUUUAAAAUUGUUUGAUUUUUUCUUAAGUUUUAACCGUUUGAUUUUAGCCUUCAAUAUUUCAAUUGUUUGAUUUUGCCACCAAGUUUACUCCAUUUUCCAUUUAUUAAUCCCCUUUGAGUUUUUGAGUAAAAAUUGUUUAUGUAGCAUUUUAAAGUAAAAUAAAGUAUUUUUAAAAAAUAAAAACAUUUUUUUUAAACAGUAGUUUUUUAUUUUAUAAACAAUUUUUUUUAAAACAAUUUUUUUUUGAACAAAAAAACAAUUUUUAGUCGAAAAUUCAACAUGGAUUAACGAACUCAUAAGGGGAGUAAUCUUCACACUUCGCCAUAAAAAAUCAGCAAUUAAAUAGAGUCUAUUGAAUUAAGAUUUCAAAAGAUUUUAAAAUACUUUUUUAUGAUAAAACAAUUUUGUGAUAUUCAAUUAAGACUUUUUCAAAAUCUAUAAAAUAAUCUUGAGCUAUUCAAUAAGCACAAUUAAGAUCUUUUUUAGGCCAUCAAAAUCUUAACCAUCACAUCUUUCUUCCCCUCUGUUUCCCACCAAAUCCUUCCAAUUUGAGGAAGCAAAAAAUGAGUCUAAGAAGAAUUGUACUCCCAUCAUUUCUUCUUCCUAAGAAUUGAACCAAACAUAUAUAUUAUUAAAAGUAUCAUUUCCUCUUCCUAAGAAUUGAACCAAACAUAUAUAUUAUUAAAAGUAAUCUCUGACAUUUCCUCACCUUCAUCUAUCUCUCAAAUAAAUAUCAGUAUCUCGAGAGAUUAGUCUCUACAUGUUAUCAACCUAGAUAUCUAAAUUCACCUAACAAUGAACACUUCAGAUUAAAGAUAUAUUCGGUAUCCAGACGCCACAUAUGGUUGCACUCAAUUAUUCAAUUUUCUCAAAUUAUUAUUGGUUUCAAGAUUUGUUUGAUGUUUAUAUUUGUGUCAUUGCUUCAUAGUUGUUUUUUGACAUAGCUAGAGGUUGUUACAUGCAGAUGAGGAUGACAAAGAAGUAGAUGAUUCUCCUAUAGAGCAAGUCAGACUAACAGUACCAAUAACAGAUGAUCCUACACAACCAGCACUUACAUUUAGGACAUGGACUAUUGGUUUGGGAUGUUGCAUUAUCCUUUCCUUUGUGAACGAAUUCUUUGGGUUCAGAACAAACCCUCUAUCUAUCUCUUCUAUUGCAGCACAAAUAGUUUCUCUCCCACUUGGGAAAGUAAUGGCUGCAACACUUCCAACCACAAUAUAUAAAGUCCCCUUCACUCCUUGGUCUUUCACAUUGAAUCCUGGACCAUUCAAUUUGAAGGAACAUGCCCUAAUAACCAUCUUUGCUAGUGCUGGAGCUAGUGGUGUUUAUGCCAUUAACAUAAUUACUAUUGUUAAGGCUUUCUACCACAGAAAUAUCAAUCCAACUGCUGCUUUUUUACUAGCACUGUCAACCCAGGUGAACAAUUUUGUUUUCUUAAAUGUUAAACAUUUUGCAUUUAUUCAUUUUAAUACAACCAACCAAAAGAAAUGAUAGUUAAAAAUGUGACUUUUUUUGUCCUUGAAUAUUUUAGAUGCUUGGUUAUGGAUGGGCUGGUAUAUUCAGAAAGGUCCUUGUGGACUCACCCUACAUGUGGUGGCCUUCAAAUCUUGUCCAGGUGUCUCUAUUCAGGUAUUUCUUUCUUUUGUUUUACAUGAAUAGAAUGAAUGUAGAAGAACAUACACUUUAGAUUGAAUGUGUGGCAAUCCGUCACUGUUCUGACACCGACCCAUGUGGUUACAUUCAAUAUAAACUUUCUUAAGUUAUUACGAGUUUCAAUGUGUUAGUGCUUCACAUGUUUACUAUUUAGGAUUAUGAUGUUCAUUUUUCUAUUCCCAUUAGUAAAUGAAUUUUGAAUGACACAGGGCAUUUCAUGAAAAAGAAAAGAGGCCUAAAGGAGGAAACACAAGGUUGCAAUUCUUUUUCCUGGUCUUUGUGGCUAGCUUUGCUUAUUACAUUAUUCCAGGCUACUUUUUCCAAGCAAUAUCAACCAUCUCUGUUGUUUGCUUAAUAUGGAAAAACUCUGUCACUGCUCAACAGAUUGGUUCAGGAAUGAGGGGUCUUGGUAUUGGUUCAUUUACCCUCGAUUGGAACACUGUUGCUGGUUUCUUAGGAAGUCCUAUGGCUUAUCCUGGUUUUGCCAUCAUCAACACAUUGGCUGGAUUUGUGUUAUUUAUCUAUGUUGUGAUUCCAGUUUCCUAUUGGAGCAAUAUUUACGAUGCCAAAAAAUUUCCCCUCAUCAGUUCUCACACAUUUGAUUCCACUGGUUCAAUAUAUAAUGUUUCUAGGAUUCUUAAUGACACAACAUUUGACAUUGAUAUGGAUGCUUAUAACAAUUACAGUA
rnacentral:lncRNA from 1 species